rnacentral:rRNA from 1 species
AUUGAACGCUGGCGGCAGGCCUAACACAUGCAAGUCGAACGAGUGGUGGACGGGUGAGUAAUGUCUGGGAAACUGCCUGAUGGAGGGGGAUAACUACUGGAAACGGUAGCUAAUACCGCAUACCAUCGGAUGUGCCCAGAUGGGAUUUGCUAGUAGGUGGGGUAACGGCUUACAUAGGCGACGAUCCCUAGCUGGUCUGAGCGGAUGACCAGCAACAGUGGAACGGAGACACGGUCCAGAAUCCGACGGGCGGCAGCAGUGGGGAAUAUUGCACAAUGGUCGCAAUCCUGAUGCAGCCAUGCCGCGUGUAUGAAGAAGGCCUUCGGGUUGUAAAGUACUUUCAGCGGGGAGGCGUUACCCGCAGAAGAAGCACCGGCUAACUCCGGGCCAGCAGCCGCGGUAAUUC